rnacentral:rRNA from 1 species
GGUUCUGAGAGGAAGGUCCCCCACAUUGGAACUGAGACACGGUCCAAACUCCUACGGGAGGCAGCAGUGAGGAAUAUUGGUCAAUGGGCGUUAGCCUGAACCAGCCAAGUAGCGUGAAGGAUGAAGGCUCUAUGGGUCGUAAACUUCUUUUAUAUAAGAAUAAAGUGCAGUAUGUAUACUGUUUUGUAUGUAUUAUAUGAAUAAGGAUCGGCUAACUCCGUGCCAGCAGCCGCGGUAAUACGGAGGAUCCGAGCGUUAUCCGGAUUUAUUGGGUUUAAAGGGAGCGUAGGUGGACUGGUAAGUCAGUUGUGAAAGUUUGCGGCUCAACCGUAAAAUUGCAGUUGAUACUGUCAGUCUUGAGUACAGUAGAGGUGGGCGGAAUUCGUGGUGUAGCGGUGAAAUGCUUAGAUAUCACGAAGAACUCCGAUUGCGAAGGCAGCUCACUGGACUGCAACUGACACUGAUGCUCGAAAGUGUGGGUAUCAAACAGGAUUAGAUACCCUGGUAGUCCACACAGUAAACGAUGAAUACUCGCUGUUUGCGAUAUACAGUAAGCGGCCAAGCGAAAGCAUUAAGUAUUCCACCUGGGGAGUACGCCGGCAACGGUGAAACUCAAAGGAAUUGACGGGGGCCCGCACAAGCGGAGGAACAUGUGGUUUAAUUCGAUGAUACGCGAGGAACCUUACCCGGGCUUAAAUUGCAGUGGAAUGAUGUGGAAACAUGUCAGUGAGCAAUCACCGCUGUGAAGGUGCUGCAUGGUUGUCGUCAGCUCGUGCCGUGAGGUGUCGGCUUAAGUGCCAUAACGAGCGCAACCCUUAUCUUUAGUUACUAACAGGUUAUGCUGAGGACUCUAGAGAGACUGCCGUCGUAAGAUGUGAGGAAGGUGGGGAUGACGUCAAAUCAGCA